rnacentral:tRNA from 1 species
CUGCGCCAGCGCCUCGGCGGCGUCCGAAUGGCCGUCGGACAUGGUGUAGCCGGCAUUGUGCAAGGCGAGGAUCUUCGCCUCGGGCAGGGCC